GCCGGGCGCGGUGGCUCACGCCUGUAAUCCCAGCACUUUGGGAGGCCGAGGCGGGCGGAUCACGAGGUCAGGAGAUCGAGACCAUCCUGGCAGGAUGGUCUCGAUCUCCUGACCUCGUGAUCCGCCCGCCUCGG
rnacentral:SRP_RNA from 1 species